UAAUGUGCUCUCGAAACUAUUGAUUGCAUCAAAGUGGACCAUUUUAUUUUUAUAAUGUCUCAAUCCCCCCCUUCCGUCCACAAUGAGAGUUAAAUCAAACGGAAGACUUACCCACAUGCUUUUCACAUGCUAAUCCUUUAAUGUAAAGACAAAAUCACCCCUCAUUCCAUCGACUUCCAUUUCCCCAAACUGAACUUCAUAUCCAAAAAUCCCCAAACUCCAUGGCCAAAACGACUUGUUUUAUUACUGCCCAAAAACGAUUUUGUUUCAAAGUGAAGAACGUCUAACUUGAAGCCAUUGGGAGCGAUGGAGAAAUAAGCUGGGGCAGAUUGCAAAGAAGGUGGGCGACGACGAACCCUAGCAAAGCUGUCGACCAUGACGUCAGCGUCCCCUUCGAGCUGUCGGUGACUCCAUUGCAGAUGAGUUUUUUGGUAGAGCUCUCAUUCAAAUUGCUUUCUCCAUCGCAGGUUGUGAAAGGUGUCUACUGGUUCAUCUAGCAUAAGCUGGGGUGGUAAAGCACCACUAGAUGACCCAUUUUGCCGUUGAAAUCUCUGAGCACGUCUAAGAGUGUCAACUACGGAUGAUAACUAUAAAAUGAAGUUCUGGAGAUGCCCAUAUUGGACUCCUGGUUGUUAACAUGGGGGUGGAGACAAGUUUUGUACAUUUUUUGAUUGGGUAGAUGAUGAUUUUUACUCCACGUGCGGAGAUGUCGUUGGCCAGCUACGAGAUAGACUUCGGAUACGGAGUCUGAGUUUAAGAUUGAGAAGUUCGAAUUAGAGGCUAACUUAGUGAUGUAGAGGGAGCACAAGGAGCAUAUCCAAGAGUUGUGCAAUAAGUUGAAGGAAAAAUCUACGGAAUUGGAGGCUAACUUAAUGAUGGAGAGGGAGCGCAUGGAGCAUAUCCAACAGCUUUUGUAUAAGGAGAAGGAAAAAUCUAAAUAUUUGGGCAAGAAAUACAAUAACUGCAUAUGAUGUGGUGUCAUUGUAAUUGUUUUGGUUGUUGCUGUUAUUUGCAUGAAAAUGUCUCAUUAUGCUAAUGAAGGUCGCCAUUACUUGAUGAUAGCGUAGAAUUGCUUAAUGUAAUUUUUUGGAUGUGUAUU